AUCAUCUCUUUGGUAGGUAUAAAUAAGUGUUUAUAAUAUGAGUAACGAUUAUUUUAGCUUCAGUACUGUGUGAUAACUUGAACAAGAUGAAGUGUAUUGUGUUAUUCUUUGCAAUCGUGCUUUUAGCGUAUAAUUGCGAUUCCCAAGCGAAUAACUUUCGGCCUGUAGUGUCAAACAACGGGAGUAUUGCUGCCGGAUCUCUGCAAGGAAAUACUUUCGGCAGUGGAUCAUUUACUGUAGUGCAGCCGGAACCUGAAAAAUGCGGUUACUUCCAGAAGAUUCUGAAGAACAGGGGCUGGGAUAUGGAUUGCGUAUUAUAAAAUAAAAGAGAUACAUAUUACAAUGUCUUAUGAGAAAUAAAGUGUCGUAAAUAAAUUAUAAAGUAUCUACUAUUAUUUGUGUCUAUUAGUGUUUUUUGUGAAUCAAAUAAAGAUUUAAAAAAUU